UCAUCCUUCUCACCCUAUCCCUGAACUGCAAUGAGGGUUCACAGUCCUUGUGAAAUCUACGCUCAAGUUCCAUCUGCAGAGUUCUGGUUUUGAUCACGACAGAGUAUCUUGCAUCAGACUAACCCUCCCAACUAAAGUCAACUAUAAGAGAUGGAAAUCUAUAAAAACAAAGGAGGACAUCCAUGAGCAACUACACGGGCACAAUUUGAAAUGCUGUGAUUCUUGAGAAAGAGACAUCAUUCAAGGCAAGUCAAAUAUUCCAAUAUUGAGCAGACAACAGGGCAAGAAACCAACAGAGGAUGAGGAGGCCCGCGACCUUCAGCGUCUUGGGGCAGUACCCAUGGGAUACCAGUGAGAAGGUGUCAUCUUGGAAGCAGAGAGAAAGCCUUUACCAGACACCAAGUCUGCUGGCACUUUGAUCUUGGACUUCCAGCCUCCA